UUACAGCUGACGAGUCCUAAAUAGGAUGAAACGCGCGCCCUGGAU
rfam:Schistosoma haematobium scaffold59_18, whole genome shotgun sequence.